rnacentral:lncRNA from 1 species
GAGGGGGGAGGGGGAGGGGAAGAGGGGGAGAUACGCUCACGAUAGAGAGAGGGCGCGGGUUGAGGUCGACGCAGGUUGGGUUCGGGUGGAUUGGGUUAGGCUAAGGUUGGGUUAGGAUUAUAUUUAAUAUAUAAAUAUUAGUAGGUUAAAACUAUAUAUUUAAAAAUAAUUGCCGCUAAAGUGUAAUAAAAUAAUAAUAAUAGUGGCCGUUUGAUAAU